UGCGGAGACACGUGAUCCCACCGCCGCUCUGACUAAAAGCUUGGAUUUGACACUUGGAUGUCGUGCAGCGUCGUGGCGCGUCGCGGCCACCAGGGGUCGCAGCGUACUAAGGUGUUGCCGGCCAGGCAGCUAACGGGAGAGGUGUGAUGAACCUGGGAUGUAUAAAGCCUCCCGCACAGCAUCGAGAAACCAGGGGAACACCUUGAGAGAGACGCAGACGCGCCGCCCCGGAGCCGCCGGAGGACGCAGCCGAGCGCAACAUGGGCCUGCGUGGCGCAUGUGGACGGGCGAGCCAACACACCGCAGGAAUGUGUGCAGUUAAGAGGGAAACACAUGCUCGGACAUUACUCUGUGUAAUCGUUUUCAAGUCCUCUCUGAGUCUAAUUGAAAAUACUGGGGCCACUUUGCUGCGCCCCCGACGGAAACCUAACAUUGGAGACGAGCCAGUGACGCGCUGAAAAUAACCAGGUUAGCACUUAGUGCCGGUCCAUUUUGGGGAGGGCCCAACACGAGGGCGCAGCACCAUAUAUCAGCUCCUUCCAGCUGUUUGGGAAUAUCCUGCUCAUAAUAUCGCGGCUGCAGCAUGGCAGCAGGCUGCUUUUUCACUCCCGCUCUCCCUGUUUGCAGAAUGGAUACUGUGUGACUGACCGGGUGCUGGGUGCGCACUGGGGGGAUCUCCCGAUAGGAAACGCUGAAGCUUCUUCUUCUUUUUUUUCUUUUUCUUUUUUUUUUUUUUUUUGUUGGGAGGGCAGGAGGUGGGAGACUGGCACAAAGCGCGACACUGUUGCGUCUGCACGUUUUUUUCUCCUUGAACAGACGGGGAAAGAUGGGCCGGGUUGGUUGGUUGGAGAGGGGGGGACUGUCCGACUUAUUCCAAAAGACAAUUCGUUGGCCUCCAACCCCCUCAAAAGGAUAAUCUUGCUCAAUUUGGGAUGCGAGCAGCGCCAAGUGAUCACAUAUUAGUUGGGCGGCGGUGCUGCUGCUGCUGCUGCUGCUGCUGGCGGUGGAUGGACGGUGAAGUUUAACUUCGCUUCCAGACGCGGUCUCCUCUCCAGGCAGCCAGACAACCAACCAGACAGUCGGCGCUUUUCUUUUUUUUCACCUCCCUUUGAAAAAAAAAAAAAAAAACAAAAAAAAAACGUGAAGUCUCCAUAUGGCUACGGGAUGCUGACACCUGCCCGGUGCGCAGGUAACUCCAGGUUCUCCUGCCAGACAGCAGAUCAAUAGCUCAGUGGCUCUGAACCUAUUGUGGGGCUAACAUGGCUGCCAACAAUAAGACAUGAUGACAUUGUCCUGCUCUCUUGCUGGAGGCCUCCCAGUAAGGAGUUCUUGUGAAUG
ensembl:lncRNA